AUGGUCUUGGCCGUGGUGAUGGUCUUGGCCUUGGUGAUGGACUUGGCCUUGGUGAUGGACAAGGGCAAGGUCGUUAUAGAGAAAUGUUUGGAUACCUCGAUGGACCAUUUACGUAUGGCGGCUUCCCAACCCAACAAACCAACAAUGAAGGAGGAUGGCGAAGAUGAGAUGGCGGGAUGGUGGGAGAAGGCUGUGAAGAAGCUUAGAGAGGAGGAUGCAGCCAAGCUAAAGAAGAAGAAGGAAGAGGAGCUUGAGGAGAAGAGGAAGGCAAAAGAGAGAGCGCCAAAUGCGAUGCGUGCUAGGGAGCAAGCAUUGGUGAGGAAAUGUGAGGAGGCACAGAAGAAGCGUUAA
rnacentral:rRNA from 1 species